rnacentral:tRNA from 1 species
GUUAUUGUAGCUUAAACAAAGCACAGCACUGAAGAUGCUGAGAUGGGCCCUGAAAAGCCCCAACAACA